rnacentral:lncRNA from 11 species
UAAACUGCCCUGAGUCCCCUUCGGGGUGAGAAGGGCAGUAUAUAAAUGUCGCAAAUAAAUAGUGUCUAUUUUUAUUUUUAAUUGGACUAUGUUGUUUGUUCAGUUUAUAUGUGUCCUUUUUCUUUGGUCUCUGUGGCGAUAGUUAAUUGUGGAUAGAUACUGUGAGACGUAAUCUCAAAUGUAACAUUCCAAAUUUGGCAAUACAGAUUAUCUAAAAUUUGUC